UGGGGAAUUUUGGACAAUGGGCGCAAGCCUGAUCCAGCAAUGCCGCGUGCAGGACGAAGGCCUUCGGGUUGUAAACUGCUUUUGUACGGAGCGAAAAGGUCUGCCCUAAUACGGUGGGCUCAUGACGGUACCGUAAGAAUAAGCACCGGCUAACUACGUGCCAGCAGCCGCGGUAAUACGUAGGGUGCGAGCGUUAAUCGGAAUUACUGGGCGUAAAGCGUGCGCAGGCGGUUAUAUAAGACAGAUGUGAAAUCCCCGGGCUCAACCUGGGACCUGCAUUUGUGACUGUAUAGCUAGAGUACGGUAGAGGGGGAUGGAAUUCCACGUGUAGCAGUGAAAUGCGUAGAUAUGCGGAGGAACACCGAUGGCGAAGGCAAUCCCCUGGACCUGUACUGACGCUCAUGCACGAAAGCGUGGGGAGCAAACA
rnacentral:rRNA from 1 species